rnacentral:rRNA from 1 species
GAUGAACGCUGGCGGCGUGCCUAAUACAUGCAAGUCGAGCGAACAGACGAGGAGCUUGCUCCUCUGACGUUAUCGGCGGACGGGUGAUUAACACGUGGAUAACCUACCUAUAAGACUGGGAUAACUUCGGGAAACCGGAUCUAAUACCGGAUAAUAUAUUGAACCGCAUGGUUCAAUAGUUAAAGACGGUUUUGCUGUCACUUAUAGAUGGAUCCGCGCCGCAUUAGCUAGUUGGUAAGGUAACGGCUUACCAAGGCGACGAUGCGUAGCCGACCUGAGAGGGUGAUCGGCCACACUGGAAAUAAGACACGGUCCAGAAUCGUAAGGGAGGCAGCAGUAGGGAAUCUUCCGCAAUGGGCGAAAGCCUGAAGGAGAAAAGCGGCGUGAGUGAUGAAGGUCUUCGGAUCGUAAAACUCUGUUAUUAGGGAAGAACAAAGGUGUAAGUAACUAUGCAAGUCUUGACGGUACCUAAUAAGAAAGCCACGGCUAACUACGU